AUGUUUCGGAUCAUUGAGUGCAAGGCGAUCGGCCAGGUAAAAUCCCCCAGAAACUCGAAGUGAAAUCAGCAUGACUAGACUGGAAGUAAUAGAGCCAAGAAUCGAGUGUCGAGACUGGAGAAUCGAGAACUGAGAACCGAGGCGUCUGCUAAGCGGCUUCCGUGGAUUUCUAUGAAAGAUCUCUGGUUCGCUACCACGGCACUUGGUCUGUUUGUACAGACCUGAACAAUUACGAUCCGUUCUUGGAACGGAACACAACCGAAGUGGAGGAAUGAAAAAUCCAGGUACAAUAAUACGAUAUAAGUGUGUGCUGCUCUCGUCGCGGCAGACAAAGUGGUUAAUGAUAGAAAUUAUAUUGCAUGUCUGAGGCGAAACAUGACCAUAAUUAAGUUGUCUGCGAGUGCAGAAAGAAGCCGGGUUUUACUUUCGGCCUGCCGAUGGAACCAUUGAGUCUGGUCGGAGUCGGAGCGGCUUAACCAUUAAGCCGGCCAAAAAUGCGGAAAAUGCGGCAUGGAAUGGUAGGAGUUGGGUUGGGAAAAUCAACUUGUGUACUCAGAAAAAUCUUACAUAAGGCAUGUACUUUGAAAAAUAUUAUUUUAAACUGGAAAAUAAAGUUUCCUAUAGAAAAACCCAAGCGUAGUCUUACACUAAUUUUUUUAUAAAGAGGCUUUAAGUAAAAUUCGAUUACACUUUAAAAUCUGUACUGAACAUUUUUUCCCAAUUUAAGCCCAUUUUUCCCCAGUGUAUCCCAGCUACUAAGCUGCAUAACAGUGAAACUUUACCCAUAAUGAACCCACAUGCUCUCCGCCGUCU